rnacentral:rRNA from 1 species
AUGGGAGAGGGACGCGACGGAGCAAUCCACACGCUGCCACCGCCGGAUGCAGGUGCACCCCAACGAGGACGCGCUGCUCCUCGCAUGGGUCUACCGCCGGUCCCUCAUGACGACGAAGAUGGACGCUCGCCGCCUCCGAGAAAGAACGACACGGCGCUCCGGCUUGCUAUUGAGCAAGCGGAGCGCGAGGCGAAGGAGGCAGCAACGGAGAAGGCCCGGGUCGCCAAGUUGAAGCUAAAGCAGGACAGGGCGGUUCGUCGGAUGAAGGGGCUCAUCGUCCUCUCCGACUCCGACUCCGACAACGGCUACCGCGACAGCUGCACCUCCUCCUCGGACGACCAAGACCCUCCACCAGCCGCGGACGCCUACAACUGCGCCGGCGACCGGAAGGGCAAAGGCCCGCCGAGGAAGUGAGGCGAAGUCGGCGGAUCCAUGGAGGGCGCGGCGGUGGGAGUGCAUGCUGCGAGUGAUACCAGCAGACGCAGCUUUGUGGAGCGCCUCCUCGUCGACGGCGUGAAGUCAGGAUUGAGCGCGGAGGCCCAGGAGGGGGAGAGUGUUCGGGAGGGGAAGUACAAAUCCACACCUCCAAGCUCCCCGAUCCAGUUGGCCAAGCGUGCGAAUCAAAGAGCGCCGUCGCCGCCGACGCUGGUUACUUCCUCUCCGGUGAGGAUAAAGCAGGGAGGAAGAUGUGUCGCUGCUCGGAGGGCCCUGCUUGUCAGUGGCAGGGUGGAGAUGAGGCCCGGGAUGGAGACACUUGGUGAAUCCUGGAUGGCUGGUGCUCGAAAAGGGGAAACGCCCAAGCAGAAGGCGCCUCCGACAGAUUCUAUAAGAGAGAGCGAGGCCCCAACUGCUCCCCAAGCUAGGGUUCAUCUUCUCCGCCGCCGCCGAGCGGCUCCUCCUGGCUCACUAGUGUGGGUUAGGAAAGAUCUGUUCCAGAGUGGUGAAUUCUCAGCCAAAGAUUGCCAUCCAGUUGGAGCAGCUGAUCAUCUGCCCCACCCGAAGCAGUUCAGUUUCUCUAGAGAUUGGUGGGCUAGGAAGCACGGGAAAAUUCCUUUCGCUGUUGUGGUAAAAGGGAUGGUCGGAGCUGGAAGAGAUGGUUCUCGAGGAGGAGGGCGAUAUGCAGCAGGAAGGGGGAGGAACGAGACAGGCCGGGGUGGUUCUGCUAACCCCAAAUCAGUAGGAGGAGGGGAGGCGCAACACCAGACUGCUCGCCCCCCUGCGCCCCAGAUGCCUCCCAUCUCUAUUUACUCCAGGCCACCAAUCGUACCUCUGCCUCAACCGAAUCAGAUGUUUCCGCAGGGCCUGAUGUAUGCAGGCUUAGUGGUUGUGGAGGAAGGGAACAUCACAGGUGAUGAACUUGGACAGUGUUUUGCAGAGAUGUUGAAAACCAACUGGCCAUGGCAGAUAAGACCAUAUGACAAAAACAAGUUCCUGGUGAGAUUCCCUCCAAACAAAAGAAUUGCUGAGCUUGCUGAAUACCCAUCUAUGAACUUGAAGAGGAAGAAAUCAACUAUAUCCUUCAUGAAAUGGGGAGGAGAAAUGCCUGUAUUUGACUCUUUGAUAGAAACUUGGGUAGUAAUGGAAGGACUGCCCCCAAAGUGGAUAAGCUGGAGUGUGAUAGCUCAAGUGGCUACCAUUUUAGGGGUCCUGGUGAAUGUUGACUGGCACAUGAUAUUCAGAAGCUUUUAUGAAGAAGUAAGGAUUCAGGUUGCAGUCAGAGACCCCAGCAAAAUUCCCACUGACAGAGUGGUGGAAAUUCAGCAUGAGCUAUUUUUGCUGAGGUUUGCAGUGGAGAAAGAUACUGAUGAGAGCUCUAACUCUGACAAUCCAUCUGACCCUGCUGAGAACAAGAUUGAGGACUCCAAUGUCAACAGUGAUGAUGAUCUACUGGGAGAGGAAAUGGAAACUGAGAUAGAAAAGUCUGGGAAAAAUAAUACCCCAAGACCCUCUGCUGCUCCUAGAGGAUCCAAAUCGAAUAGCUACAAAACUCCUGGGGCUGCUAUGGAGAUGGCUACAGGAUCCAAAAAUCAAAGAGCACCAAUGACUAAAAGCUAUUUAGAAGUGGUCCAGAAGAGAGCUAGAGAGGAUGGGGGAGAAUGUUUGCUACCCAGCUUUGAAGCUGUGUUUAACCAAAAUCAAGACAGGGCUGGUGGUCUGAUGAAGAACAAACCUGCUAUGAAAUGGGCGCCUAUAGAAGCCACUAGAAUGAGUGACAGGAUCAAAAGAGAUGGAAAGCCUGCUCUGACCAAAUCCCAAGAAUUAAAGCAGAAGAAAAACUUGGAGAUACCAAAAGGGGAGGAGUUCAAUUAUGCUGAGCCUGAUCCCAUUGGCAAAGACAUUAAUGAGUAA